rnacentral:rRNA from 1 species
UACGUAGGGUGCGAGCGUUAUCCGGAAUUACUGGGCAUAAAGGGUGCGUAGGUGGCGCGGUGCGUCUGUGGUGAAAGUCUUCGGCCCAACCGGAGAAUAGCCGCGGAUACGGCCGUGCUUGAGUGCAUUAGGGGUAGGGGGAACGAGCAGUGUAGCGGUGAAAUGCGUAGAUAUUGCUCGGAAGGCCAGUGCCGAAGGGGCCCUACUGGGAUGCAACUGACACUGAGGCACGAAAGCGUGGGGAGCAAACAGG